rnacentral:snoRNA from 1 species
UGGAUAAUGAUGAGGCAAAGUCAUGAGCCAAGGAUUAUGAUUAAUCCAUUUCUGUGUUUCUAAGUUUCAGA